CGUAAACGAUGUCGACUUGGAGGUUGUGCCCUUGAGGCGUGGCUUCCGGAGCUAACGCGUUAAGUCGACCGCCUGGGGAGUACGGCCGCAAGGUUAAAACUCAAAUGAAUUGACGGGGGCCCGCACAAGCGGUGGAGCAUGUGGUUUAAUUCGAUGCAACGCGAAGAACCUUACCUGGUCUUGACAUCCACGGAAGUUUUCAGAGAUGAGAAUGUGCCUUCGGGAACCGUGAGACAGGUGCUGCAUGGCUGUCGUCAGCUCGUGUUGUGAAAUGUUGGGUUAAGUCCCGCAACGAGCGCAACCCUUAUCCUUUGUUGCCAGCGGUCCGGCCGGGAACUCAAAGGAGACUGCCAGUGAUAAACUGGAGGAAGGUGGGGAUGACGUCAAGUCAUCAUGGCCCUUACGACCAGGGCUACACACGUGCUACAAUGGCGCAUACAAAGAGAAGCGACCUCGCGAGAGCAAGCGGACCUCAUAAAGUGCGUCGUAGUCCGGAUUGGAGUCUGCAACUCGACUCCAUGAAGUCGGAAUCGCUAGUAAUCGUGGAUCAGAAUGCCACGGUGAAUACGUUCCCGGGCCUUGUACACACCGCCCAAGCUC
rnacentral:rRNA from 1 species